GGAUUGUGACUCAGUGGUAGAGCACUCGUCUAGUACAUGCAAGGCCCUGGGUUCGAUCCUCAGCACCA
rnacentral:tRNA from 1 species